CCUACGGGAGGCAGCAGUGGGGAAUAUUGCACAAUGGGGGAAACCCUGAUGCAGCGACGCCGCGUGAGUGAAGAAGUAUUUCGGUAUGUAAAGCUCUAUCAGCAGGAACGAGACAAGACGGUACCUGACUAAGAAGCCCCGGCUAACUACGUGCCAGCAGCCGCGGUAAUACGUAGGGGGCAAGCGUUAUCCGGAAGCACUGGGUGUAAAGGGAGCGUAGACGGCUGAGCAAGCCUGAAGGGAAAGGCGGGGGCCCAACCCCUGGACUGCUUAGGGAACUGUACGGCUGGAGUGCAGGAGAGGUAAGUGGAAUUCCUAGUGUAGCGGUGAAAUGCGUAGAUAUUAGGAGGAACACCAGUGGCGAAGGCGGCUUACUGGACUGUAACUGACGUUGAGGCUCGAAAGCGUGGGGAGCGAACAGGAUUAGAUACCCGUGUAGUC
rnacentral:rRNA from 1 species